UCUUGGAAAAAUAGUUCGUAAAUUCAUGCUGCCUGCUUUCUUGGACCUAGCAGCAACACCUGACAUGCUUUACCUGAAGAUUUUUGAGCCUCCAGGAGUUGCGGGACCGAUUCACAGAGAUGCGCGAGCUCGAUCUUGCAGUGUAUCCAAGCAUCUCAAUCUGCCCGUGGCCGUGGCCGUGAGUUUUGGCGUUACUGUACCACGGCCACAUACAACCUGCAGCAGCGUCGCGGAGGAGUCUCCGCUUCCAGUGCUAUUGUCAUAGCAGCCAGCUAAGCGCUAGUGGCCACCCAACAGAUGCAGCAAGGACGCAGAACGUCCUCUCUGAAGAACAGCUAAGAGGCCAUCCAUGAAACGGCCGGUACAACGGCCGAAUUCUGGUUGCAGGCGGGCCAGAGUGGCCUACAGCAGCCCGACGGAGUGGCGGCCGGGAAAGCUUUAGGCACCAGUGGUGCAGCAGGAGCCACUAGCAGCUCGCUCCACCCUCACCACUGCCAGACGCACUACAACAGAACACCGCAGCUACAACAGCAGCCACAGCGGGACUGCAAUCAAUACCAGGAGAAGUUAAACACGGCCUGGUUGUGCCCACAUGUCUAACUGUGCACAAAACUGGGCACCUCCACGUCCGGCGGCAAUUCUAUCUCCUCGUCGACCUCAGCGAAGAGCGUGGAUUCGAUGGGCAUGCUACCCCACCCUCGACGAAUCUCUCAGCCGGUGGCCUGGCCCACGGCUCGCUCUCGAUGUCGGUAACAGAAGCGGUUGGUUUGGUGGGCCACAAAUCCCAACCCCAAGACCGGACAACGUGUAUUGCCAGCAGUGCUGGAAAACGCAAUACUUCGAAGGUUUCAAGCACUGAACUAUCGAUAACUUUAUAAGUGCGACCAGUUUAGAUCGUGAUAGAUUCUUUUACGAUAAAUACUGAAAAUUCGGCGUUUUGAAGGUAAAACUUUGCGGGCACACUGCCGCUAAUUCAGUGAAAAUCAUCUUGGAAAAAUAGUUCGUAAAUUCAUGCUGCCUGCUUUCUUGGACCUAGCAGCAACACCUGACAUGCUUUACCUGAAGAUUUUUGAGCCUCCAGGAGUUGCGGGACCGAUUCACAGAGAUGCGCGAGCUCGAUCUUGCAGUGUAUCCAAGCAUCUCAAUCUGCCCGUGGCCGUGGCCGUGAGUUUUGGCGUUACUGUACCACGGCCACAUACAACCUGCAGCAGCGUCGGGGAGGAGUCUCCGCUUCCAGUGCUAUUGUCAUAGCAGCCAGCUAAGCGCUAGUGGCCACCCAACAGAUGCAGCAAGGACGCAGAACGUCCACUCUGAAGAACAGCUAAGAGGCCAUCCAUGAAACGGCCGGUACAACGGCCGAAUUCUGGUUGCAGGCGGGCCAGAGUGGCCUACAGCAACCCGACGGAGUGGCGGCCGGGAAAGCUUUAGGCACCAGUGGUGCAGCAGGAGCCACUAGCAGCUCGCUCCACCCUCACCACUGCCAGACGCUCUACACCAGCCACGGACAUGGACACAGGCAAGGACACCGCAGCCACAACAGCAGUCACAGCGGGCACAGUAAUCAAAACCAGGAGAAGGUGGUUCACAAAUCCCAACCCCAAGACCGGGCAACGUGUAUUUCCCAGCAGUGCUGGAAAACGCAACAAAUUCAAGAGUUUGGCAGCACUGAACUAUCGAUAACUUUAUAAGUGCGACCAGUUAAAGUAAAUGUAAAAAUCUUAACGUUUUAACAGUCUGGC